rnacentral:rRNA from 1 species
UACGAAGGGGGCUAGCGUUGUUCGGAAUUACUGGGCGUAAAGCGCGUGUAGGCGGGUCUUUAAGUCAGGGGUGAAAUGCCAAGGCUCAACCUUGGAACUGCCUUUGAUACUGGAGACCUUGAGUCCGGGAGAGGUGAGUGGAAUUGCGAGUGUAGAGGUGAAAUUCGUAGAUAUUCGGAAGAACACCAGUGGCGAAGGCGACUCGCUGGACAAGUAUUGACGCUGAGGUGCGAAAGCGUGGGGAGCGAACAGG